GUGGUUUCAAAACAUGCAUAAAUAAAUUCAACCUUCAUUUUGUUCCAAUUAUUGCAACUAAGAUGGAGCACCAGAGAAACCAUGGGCAAAUACUGGCACGAUCACAGAGAUCAGCUGUCAUGGAAACAAGCACUGCCACUGCCCCAUAAUGAGCCAGCAGAGCCUAGUCAUCUGGCAACAAUGACUGGUCUCUGGCAAUUGAGAAGAACAUCAAGCAAAGAAAAUGAGAGGACAAAAAAAGAAAUAAACACAAUUAAAUUUUACUAAACUGUCCAAAGAAUAUGACAUCGAUUGCUUCCUCAAAUCCUUAACAAACCAUCUUUGAUCAAACUUCUUCAUCUUCAGUAAAAUGCAUUUUAGUUCACCUCAUUUUUACCUCCAUGAACAAAGUUGGUGUCUUUGUAAAAAGUGUUUUAAAAUCUUUUAUGUUUACUUUUCUGUGAUUUGUCCUUGUCCUUUGCUAAUUUGUUGUCCAGUUUGUUGGGCAUGUUUUUUACUUAUUUGUAGACGUUCCUAACUCAAUAAAGAAAAUAUCUCAGUCUGUGAUAUGUAUGAAAUAUUUUUUCCAGAUUUUCAUUUGUCAUUUGAGUUUGAUUAGCAUGAGUCAUUAUACAGAAAUCUUGUUUUAAUUAUCCUGUCAUUCACUCUGUUUUGUAUUACACUUGGAAAAGGCUUU
rnacentral:lncRNA from 1 species